AUUGAACGCUGGCGGCAGGCCUAACACAUGCAAGUCGAGCGAGCGGCGGACGGGUGAGGAAUGUCUGGGAAACUGCCCGAUGGCGGGGGAUAACUACUGGAAACGGUAGCUAAUACCGCAUACCAUCGGAUGUGCCCAGGUGGUAUUAGCUUGUAGGUGGGGUAACGGCUGACCUAGGCGACGAUCCCUAGCUGGUCUGAGAGGAUGACCAGCUACACUGGAACUGAGACACGGUCCAGACUCCUACGGGAGGCAGCAGUGGGGAAUAUUGCACAAUGGGCGCAAGCCUGAUGCAGCCAUGCCGCGUGGGUGAAGAAGGCCUUCGGGUUGUAGAGCACUUUCAGCGGUGAGGCGUUACCCGCAGAAGAAGCACCGGCUAACUCCGUGCCAGCAGCCGCGGUAAUUC
rnacentral:rRNA from 1 species